rnacentral:rRNA from 1 species
UACGUAGGGGGCAAGCGUUGUCCGGAUUUAUUGGGCGUAAAGAGCGUGUAGGCGGCCAUACAGGUCAGCUGUGAAAACUCGAGGCUCAACCUCGAGACGUCGGUUGAAACCGUAUGGCUAGAGUCCGGAAGAGGAGAGUGGAAUUCCCGGUGUAGCGGCGAAAUGCGCAGAUAUCGGGAAGAACACCCGUGGCGAAGGCGGCUCUCUGGGACGGUACUGACGCUGAGACGCGAAAGCGUGGGGAGCGAACGAGGA